GGGCCGAUAGUUCAGUCUGGUAUGAAUGCCGCCUUCGCAAGGCGGAGGUCGCGGGUUCAAAUCCCGCUCGGUCCACCA
rnacentral:tRNA from 1 species